rnacentral:lncRNA from 1 species
UCUUAUGCAAAUCUAUAAUUACCAAGGAUCCAAUUGAAAGAUCCUCACUUGAUUCACUAAGAUUGGAACCAUGGUGCAAAUGCAUCAUAUGUGAUGAACUCAAACUAGCAUCCAAUGAAACUUAAUCAACCAAAUUAGUCAAGUAAGUUCAAGAUUGGUGGGAGGCUCCUCGUACAUAAGCAAUGAUCCUAAUUAAGUAACCACCAUUCUAUCACUUAUCUUAGACACCAAUUAAUCAAUCAAUUCUAAAUUGGUUUAGGUCAUUAGUUUUGGCCACCAC